UCCUACGGGUGGCUGCAGUCGAGAAUCUUCCGCAAUGGGCGAAAGCCUGACGGAGCGACGCCGCGUGUUUGAUGAAGUCCUUCGGGACGUAAAAAACUUUUAUGAUCAAGAAAGUUUAUUGAUCUGAUCAUGAAUAAGGGGCUCCAAACUCUGUGCCAGCAGGAGCGGUAAUACAGAGGCCCCAAGCGUUGUCCGGAAUCACUGGGCGUAAAGGGUGUGUAGGCGGUUUUGUUAGUCUCUUGUUAAAGCCCGCGGCCUAACCGCGGACAUGCAAGGGAAACGGCAAAACUUGAGGGUGCGAGAGGUGAAUGGAACUCAUGGAGUAGGGGUGAAAUCCGUUGAUAUCAUGGGGAACACCAAAAGCGAAGGCAAUUCACUGGCGCAUUCCUGACGCUGAAACACGAAAGCGUAGGUAGCGAAUGGGAUUAGAUACCCUUGUAGUCC
rnacentral:rRNA from 1 species